rnacentral:lncRNA from 1 species
CAGGUUUUGACUACUACAAACAGUAGUGCCGCGGACAUUCUUGUUCUUAUCUCCUGGUGCAUAGCAGCAAGAAUUCCUCUAGGAUACAUUCUUUGGAACGGAACUGCCAGAUCGGGGCUCAGACCUUCACCUUUUGCAUCUGACCUUCCAUCAGGAGACCCUUGAAGACUUCUCCUGCAUUGCCCUAUCACCUGAAACCCAGCUCAUUGAUCGUCAUCAUUCAUUAAUUCCACAACAUUGACAGAGCCCUUGGUCUGUACUAGAGGCUUAAGGCCCUGUCCUCAUGGAGCACUCAGAACGUUCUCUCUAGUCUCUUCCUGAUUCUUUCUAGGCAGGUUUACUACCUUUUACUUGCUCAGUUCAUUUCUGUGUUCUCAAGCUGGCUUUCCCUCUGGGAAUAUUCCUCCAUGGAAGAUUGCCAGAAAGCUUCCAAUGAUCUCUUCUUGCUCUUGAGAUUUCUUCUUCCCUACAGAGUGGCACGUGUCUCUUUCUGUCUGAAUCUGAACUCUUCUGACUUUUCUAUAUUUUUUCCUAUUGUGUAAUCUAUCACUCUAGCCAUCUAAUCUUUUUCUUUUUUUUAGAUAGAGGUGGGGUCUCACUCUGUUGCCCAGGCUAGUCUAGAACUCCUAGGCUCAAGUGAUCCUCCUGCCUUAACCUCCCAAAGUGCUGGGAUUACAGGCGUGAGGCACCGUGCCCAGUCUUGAUCUAUUUUUUUAUCGGACAUUUUUUGAAUGCCCAUAUACUAGCAAAUUUCAAGGUGUGGAGGAGCUUCUCCUUGCCAUUUAAAAGUUUUCAUUUAUUUGACAUAAUCAUUUUAUAAAAUUAUGUAUUUGCACAACUUAUGUCCA